AGAAUCAACGCUGGCGGCGUGCCUAACACAUGCAAGUCGAACGAGAAAGUGGAGCAAUCCAUGAGUAAAGUGGCGCACGGGUGAGUAACACGUGACUAACCUACCCUUGAGUGGGGGAUAACCUAGAGAAAUCUGGGCUAAUACCGCAUAAUACCUUCGGGUCAAAGGAGCAAUUCGCUUAAGGAGGGGGUCGCGGCCGAUUAGUUAGUUGGCGGGGUAAUGGCCCACCAAGACUAUGAUCGGUAUCCGGCCUGAGAGGGCGCACGGACACACUGGAACUGAAACACGGUCCAGACUCCUACGGGAGGCAGCAGUGGGAAUUUUGCGCAAUGGGGGAAACCCUGACGCAGCAACGCCGCGUGGAGGAUGAAGUCCCUUGGGACGUAAACUCCUUUCGAUCGGGACGAUAAUGACGGUACCGAGAACGAAGAAAGCCCCGGCUAAACGUUCGUGCUAGCAGCCGC
rnacentral:rRNA from 1 species